UGGAAGAAACGGGACCUGCAUAGGCCAUGAC
rnacentral:piRNA from 1 species